AGAGUUUGAUCAUGGCUCAGAGUGAACGCUGGCGGCGUGCCUAACACAUGCAAGUCGAACGAGAACGGGUUACAGUUUACUGUAACUGUCAGCUAAGUGGCGCACGGGUGAGUAAUAUAUAGUUAAUCUGCCCCAAAGAAGAGAAUAAUUGUUGGAAACGACUUGUAACUCUCUAUAUGCCUUUAUCACACAAGUGAGCAAGGGAAACAUUUAUGGCUUUGGGAUGAGACUGUACGGUAUCAGCUAGUUGGUGAGGUAAUGGCUCACCAAGGCUAUGACAUCUAACUGGUUUGAGAGGAGGAUCAGUCACACUGGAACUGAGACACGGUCCAGACUCCUACGGGAGGCAGCAGUGGGGAAUAUUGCACAAUGGAGGAAACUCUGAUGCAGCAACGCCGCGUGGAGGAUGACACAUUUCGGUGCGUAAACUCCUUUUAUUAGGGAAGAUAAUGACGGUACCUAAUGAAUAAGCACCGGCUAACUCCGUGCCAGCAGCCGCGGUAAUACGGGGGGUGCAAGCGUUACUCGGAAUCACUGGGCGUAAAGAGCAUGUAGGCUGGAGAUUAAGUUGGAAGUGAAAUCCUAUGGCUCAA
rnacentral:rRNA from 1 species